GGAGCCUCGACUCUGGAGUCUCAGAUGGCGGCGCUGGGGACCCACAUUCCUAAGUCUUCUAGCAAGGGCCGCGAGGCGUGAGAAUCCGGAACUGGCAAUGCACUGUCUCCUAUUGGUCAAUGCAAAAUGUUUAAUUUGCAUAUAUAACACAAGGCGGGGCCCUCCGGUGAGGUCACGUGGCUAUGAACCACUGAAGAAGACCCCGGCGCAGGGGUGCGGCCGGAGCUCCAGUGGCGCAAUCGGUUAGCGCGCGGUACUUAUAUGACAGUGCGAGCGGAGCAAUGCCGAGGUUGUGAGUUCGAUCCUCACCUGGAGCACUUUUUUUCCCCAUCAGUUUUUAUAAACUUACACAUCUAAUAAACCAACCAAAACAUCUACAUCACUUAGAUGAAUGAACGUUUCUAUCUUUUGAAUUAUUGGGCUCAAAAGACUCCUAGGGCUUUGGCGACGGUCCUUUGGGUGUUCUGUAUUGUAGGGAGGUGCCGUUUCCGUCCCAGCCACCAGGUGGGGGUAUCGUCUCUUAUUAGAUGCUCUGGGCAUGGAAUUGUGUGCAAACAGUUUGACUUCUGUAGAGAUGUGGGUCCUCGGCAAACUGUAUAUGACUCUGCCUCCUCUGUAUUUCUCUGUCUUUUUAAUGCCUCCUUUACAGAUGAACAUAGCUAUCUGUCUUGGAGUUUUCGACCUCUGUUGAAAAGGAAAACUAUGUUUUUGAGUCGACUUGUUUUUUCAAUAAAUAUUGAACAUUCACUAUGCCUGGCUUCCUUUAGCUGUGUGUAAUACAGCAGUGAACAAGUAGUCCCUGCCCCUGAGGACGCGACAUUCUAGUGGGGAGGCAGAUUGCUGUCAACAUAAGAAUUAAGUACAUUUUAAUGUUAGGUGGUGAUGAUAAAUGUCAUGGAAAAAGUCGAGCAAGGUGGAUCAGACAGGAUUGCUGUUGGACUGGGGUGUGGAUUUGAGAACAAGGUGUCAAGGGAUACUCCUGGGUGUCUGGCUUAAGCCCUGGUAGAUGGUGAGAAGUGCCGUUUUCUUAUAUGAGGGAUUUUUUGGGGAAGGGGCAGAGAAUCAGAUCUGGCUAAAGGAAGGACCAGAGAUGUUGUUCUUUCAGUCUCCAAGACUGUUUCUGCAAAUGUCUCUUCACUGCUUGCUCUUGGUCUCUGCCCCUCUGCUGCCUUUGCAUCUCAGGGGUUCUGACUCCCUCUCGCCUGAUCCUCUUCUACUUAUUAGGGCCUGAGCCCUUUCCCACAAGGGAAGCAGUUUCCUGGAAGAGGAGACCAAAUGUCAGUGAGCAAGGGGAGUGGGCCAAGGAGGCCUGAGAGCAGGAGGGAGGCUUGAGGAGGGUAGAGAGAAGGGAGAGGAGGGAAAGGGGCUUCAGAGGGAGAGAGAAGAGGAGAAGGAGUAAGGCUAGGGGGAGGAGGGGAAGAGGACAAUGGGGAGUGGGAGGGCAAGGAAAGGGUGGAGAGGGAAAGAAGGACGGAAAAAGGGAGAGAAGGGAGACGGGAAGGAGGAGAAAGGGGGUAAGAGACGGCAGGAUGGGGAGGCUGGAAGUGGGAGAGGAGUAAUGAGGGAGGGGACAAAUUGGAGGGGGAGAGAAGAACAGAAGGCAAAGGGUGUAGGGCGGGGCAGAAGGGUGCAGAGGAGGAAGUGAAAAAGAGGAGGAAGGGUGAGGGUAGGGAAAGGAGAGAAGAGGGAAGUGAGAGGGAGGAGGGAGGAGUGCGGGGCAAGGAGAAAAAAGAGGGGUCGCAGGGGGCGAAGGCUGGGCGGCAGGGCCGAGCCGCAGGCGCUGACGCAGGGCGGCUUCCGGGCGCGGGGCCCCGGGGUUGGUCCCGACGACGCUGGCCUUGUAUGGUCUGAAGACGCGGCUCCCCCGGGGCCCCUCCUAGACGCGCGGCCCCUACCCACACGCCCUGGCCUCGCGGGGCCGACCCUGGUCGGUGUGCGAAGCCUCGGACUUCCAAGGUUCGGAAAUGCCAAGACCCGGUAAUUCCCGGGCUCCAGGGUCCCGGGUGGCCAGAAAUCUGCAACUCCGAGCCACCAGGGGUCUAGAGUCUAAAGCGCUAGGGGAUGCAACCUGUGACUCCCAAAUGUUGAGAUCCUAGCCUCUUGAGACCCUAAACCCGCUUCCCCAACAUCCAGAAGGUGUCGAAGCCCCCCCGGAACCUCUAGUCCCGAAACGGGUUCCGCUACCCCAGGCUGCCCCGCCCCGCGCCCGCCCCCGCUCGCUCUGGGCGCGCGCCCCAGCACAUUCCGUCCUCCCCACCCGGCCCCUCCCGCCUCCCGCGGCCCCGUGGGGACGGAAACAUCCCGUCCCCGACCGCACCCGCCCGAAGCUGGGUCAAGGAGCCCAGCAGGACGGGAGCGCGGCGCCCCCGACGCCCGGGAACUGGCUCCCCCGGUUCCCAUCUGGUGACCUCACCUGGUCCCACCCUUUCAGGUGAACGGCCAGGCCCGGUGACGUCACUUCCUGCCAGGUAAGCGCCGCGGGGCUCGGAGAGGAAGAGUUAACUGCACCCAGCUUCCAAAAAGUCACCCCCUCCCUCUCCAUUCCUGUCUCUAGACCGCGAAGAAGCCAGGAUCCCAGCUUACACUCAGAUUGUUUAUUUAAAAAUGCCCAAAACACAAAAAUAGACUUUUAAGGUAAUAAUAUAUAUUACUAAAUAUAUUAUAGUCUACUUAUAAUAAUUAUAUCGUCGUUUUCAAUAUUACAAAAAAAGGAAGAAAAAUACAAGGGAAGCAGACGACCCAAUAUAUAUAAAUACUAUAAAAUCAUAUUAGAA
rnacentral:tRNA from 1 species